CACCCACCCACCCACCCACACACCCACCCACACACACACACACACACACGGUAGCAGAGCUACCGGACAACAAUAAUCCGAUGUUAACCCGAUUAAGAUGAUACUCGGAUUAAGAAACUAGCAUGUAAACAGCGAUUAUUGAUGACCUUAAUCCGAUUGGGGACGUAAUGACGUGUGACGUUAAUCCAUCUACGUUCUAUAACAUGUAAAACCUGAACAUGAAAGGAAUAUUCUAAAAGCGACUCAUGUAAACACCUUAAUCAGAAUAUUGUCUUAUUCAGAAUAAGGUCAAUAAUUAGAUUACUGCUGUCCGUGUAAACGUAGUCAAUGACCCAAAACACUACAAACACAACAAAGGACUUCAGUAGGGGGGAAAACAUCGAAGGGUUUAGACUGGCCAAGUCAAUCACCAGAUUUUAUCUCAGUCAAGCAUGCAUUUUACCUCCUGAAGAGGAGACUGAAAAAAGACUCCCCAAAACAAACAAACAAACAAAAAAAGUGACAGAAGCUGUGGUACAAACCUGGAAAAUCAUCAAAAAGAAGAAUGCAACAGUUUGGUGAUGUAACUGGGUCACCGGCUUGAUGCAGGAUUCAGGAGGACACUCAUCUACAGCUCCCCGGUUGUUCUUGGUUUUGUUAGUCUUGCAAUGGCGUCCAUCUUUCGCACCUGGUUCAGCGGGACGCAUGUUGCAGAGCACACAGCAUCUCUCCUACACCUUAAUAAGCUGCAGCUACACAAACGUAAACACAGUGGAGUAAACAAGCACUUACAAAGUGCUUCACAUCCAGUAAACACAGCUGCACUUCCGCAAGAUGAGAUAGUUAUUUGCAUUAAGCCUCUUAGCUAGAUAACUAGCUAGUUAAGUGAUGUUAGCACAUGACAGACAAUGACAAGGCAGAUGGAAAUAAAUAUACCUAAAUGUAUAUUUCAAUAGUCGACUUCUUUAAAUGUUUAUUCACCUUCUAGUUUAUGUACCCACGAAAGCUAACAUGUAAAUUAAAGUUAGCAACAGCCUGCUAAUCUCCGCAAAAGCAGUCGCUUCCUGUUUAAAACGGAUGUUGGGAAGUGUAGUUUCCACAAAUGGUUAAUACCAAUGACCGUGUAUAUUUGAGUGGACUUCAUAGCGUCAUUUUUUUUCUCCUACUGUGCGGUUUUGUAGCCUUUUUUGGUCAAAAUCUGUAACGGUAUAUAUAUGAGUAGACAUCAUGGCGCCAUUUACUUCCAUUGUGCGCUUUUAAAGCCUUUUUUGGUCGAUUUGGGAAUACUGGAGCCAGAGCAUGCGCAGUAGAGACCUUGGAGCCAGAGCAUGCGCAGUAGAGACCUUGGAGCCAGAGCAUGCGCAGUAGAUACCAUAUUGGUGAUGGAAACUGUAAAUGAAAGUGUACAUUGUAAGAUAUUGCCUGAACAGGAACUAAAUAUGGUACAUUGGUUAAACAUGGUUUGUCCAUCAUUUUAAUCUAAGUAAUGUAAGUAUAAGUAGCCAAUAUGAUGUACCAACUAAAAAUAUACUGGUAAACUGCAUUAAACAUUUACACUCAGCACAACCUAUUUUUUGAGAAAAACUCAUCGCUGCCUACCAUGAUUUUCAUCUAGCUCUAACACCUGCCAUAACUUACCCACCGAGUAACUUACCCAUAACUUACCCACUUAUCCAACAGAGAAAUGCUCCAGUCAACCUCUCGUGGAGUUUGUUUAAAAAAGGAGUGACUGUCUAAACUAGCUAAACAAAGCUACUUCGAGUGUUUCCUAUGGUCAUACAUUAAAUUGUAGAUUAUUAUGAAAUGUAGUUAGCUGCCAUAGUGUUUCACUCAUAUUGGUUUGCUAGUUAUAAUAUCAGUACAAAGAGCUAGCUUAGACAUCAAAAAUGAUAAACAUACCAGGAAAAACUGCAAAGAACUCCCCGCUGAGGGUCUGUUAGAACAGUCAACAGCAGAACAAGACAUGUCUUUGUUACAGAACUGUCAAGAGCUUCAGGUGUGUAUUGGAGAAUACGAGCAUGUUUAUGAGACUCAACUGUCAUGUUCAAAACUGUCCAUCAC
ensembl:lncRNA